UACGUAGGCAGCGAGCGUUGUUCGGAGUUACUGGGCGUAAAGAGUGCGUAGGCGGUUUUCUAAGUUUGGUGUGAAAUCUCCCGGCUUAACUGGGAGGGUGCGCCGAAAACUGGAAGGCUUGAGUAUGGGAGAGGUAAGCGGAAUUCCUGGUGUAGCGGUGAAAUGCGUAGAUAUCAGGAGGAACACCAGCGGCGAAGGCGGUGCUCUGGGCCGGAACUGACACUGAGGAGCGAAAGCGUGGGUAGCAAACAGG
rnacentral:rRNA from 1 species